UACAGAGGUCCCAAGUGUUGUUCGGAUUCAUUGGGCGUAAAGGGUGCGUAGGCGGCGCGGUAAGUCGGGUGUGAAAUCUCGGGGCUUAACUCCGAAACUGCAUUCGAUACUGCCGUGCUUGAGGACUGGAGAGGAGACUGGAAUUUACGGUGUAGCGGUGAAAUGCGUAGAUAUCGUAAGGAAGACCAGUGGCGAAGGCGGGUCUCUGGGCCGAUACUGACGUGAGGAGCGAAAGCGUGGGGAGCGAACAGG
rnacentral:rRNA from 1 species